UCUGGUGCCAGCAGCCGCGGUAAUUCCAGCUCCAAUAGCGUAUAUUAAAGUUGUUGCAGUUAAAAAGCUCGUAGUUGGAUAUCUGCUGGAAGCAAUCAGUCCGCCCUUUUCAUAAGGGUGUGCACUUGAUGAAUUCUGGCAUGAUUUCAUCCUGAUAAUGAUAAUAAUAUGUUGUUAUAAUAUUAGGUUGAUUCCUAGUAUAAUAAUAACAUUAUUAUUGUUAUGGGGAUGACAGUUACUUUGAGAAAAUUAGAGUGUUUGAAGCAGGCUUUUGUUGCCUUGAAUACUGCAGCAUGGAAUAACAAUAUAGGAUUUCGGUUCUAUUGUUUUGUUGGUUUUUUCUGUAGGACUGAAAUA
rnacentral:rRNA from 1 species